rnacentral:tRNA from 1 species
GCCGAGGUGGCGGAAUGGUAGACGCGUUACGUUCAGGGCGUAGUGGGCUUAUGCCCGUGUGGGUUCAAGUCCCUCCCUCGGCA